GCUAGAGAUUUUAUCUCAAAUCUCAUACCAGACUGCUUCAGAAAGAUAUUUUUAUAACAAUACUCCCUAAUUAAAAGAUAGAUAUAAUAAGAUUUGGUCGACAUGGUUUGUUCUUCCUACCAAUUUAUGCCCUGUGGUUACCCUGCAUUUGAAUUAAUUUGAACUAGUUUCCAAGCCGCCCUGACCUGCUCGGUAUACUAACAUACUAUUCAAGCCAAUUAAGAUAAGGACUCGGAUCCAGAUAGUGCAA